GACGAACGCUGGCGGCGUGCUUAACACAUGCAAGUCGAACGGAAAGGCCCUGCUUUUGUGGGGUGCUCGAGUGGCGAACGGGUGAGUAACACGUGAGUAACCUGCCCUUUACUUUGGGAUAACUUCAGGAAACUGGGGCUAAUACCGGAUAGGAGCUCCUGCUGCAUGGUGGGGGUUGGAAAGUUUCGGCGGUUGGGGAUGGACUCGCGGCUUAUCAGCUUGUUGGUGGGGUAGUGGCUUACCAAGGCUUUGACGGGUAGCCGGCCUGAGAGGGUGACCGGCCACAUGGGGACUGAGAUACGGCCCAGACUCCUACGGGAGGCAGCAGUGGGGAAUAUGGCACAAUGGGCGGAAGCCUGAUGCAGCAACGCCGCGUGCGGGAUGACGGCCUUCGGGUUGUAAACCGCUUUCGCCUGUGACGAAGCGUGAGUGACGGUAAUGGGUAAAGAAGCACCGGCUAACUACGUG
rnacentral:rRNA from 1 species